rfam:Ictidomys tridecemlineatus contig031684, whole genome shotgun sequence.
UGGGUUGUGGCUCAGUGGUAGAGCAUUCGUCUAGCAUGUGCAAGGCCCUGGGUUUGAUCCUCAGCACCACAU